rnacentral:tRNA from 1 species
GCCUCGGUAGCUCAGUUGGUUGGAGCGGUCCCGACUCAGUCGGGAUUACUCCGUAGGUCAACGAUUCGAGUCCUUUCUGAGGCAC